CCCCCCGGCCCGGGAUAGCCCAGGGAAACCUGGAUUAAUACCGGGAUGAGACGGGACCCGCGAUGGCGGGACCCGGGAAAGGCGCUCGCGGCCGCCGCCGGGGGAUGAGGUACUGCGUCCCAUUAGCUAGACGGCGGGGUAACGGCCCACCGUGGCGACGAUGGGUAGCCGGCCUGAGAGGGUGGACGGCCACAUUGGAACUGAGACACGGUCCAGACUCCUACGGGAGGCAGCAGCUAAGAAUCUUCCGCAAUGGGCGAAAGGCCUGACGGAGCGAACCGGCCGCGUGAACGAAGAAGGCCGUGAGGUUGUAAAGUUCUUUUCGGGAGGGGGAACAACCGUGGCAGGGAAUGGCCGCGGGAUGACGUGAAUCCCGGAAUAAGCCCCGGCUAACUACGUGCCAGCCGCCGC
rnacentral:rRNA from 1 species